CGACGGACUAGUUCCGGGAUUCCGAUGUCGGCCUAGCGAGCGAGCUAAGUGGUUUGCUAGCGGCUAACUCAAGGAGGACCGUAACGACCCACACCCUAAAGACAAGACAGCUCGUAUGUUCGAUAUAAGGGGCAUCCUCGGUUACCCAGAGAACCAGAGGUUGACAGAGGACCAAUUGAACAAAGGAUUAAAAUGCAUCAGACUUCAUAACAACACUGCUGCACAUGGCUUUAUUAAAGAGAUGCAAAAUGGAAAAUGAGGUCUAUCUGCAGAGAAUUUGGAGGUGGGAGAGGUCUCUUCACCAAGACCUGGCCUUCUGUGGCGACAGCUCGGCAACAUGCACGGGGCCUCUGUUUGGAAUGAGUUGAUUCUUUCCUCAUAAAGACUGAGGGCAGGGGUUUUAAAAGCCCAGAGGACUGUGUUUUGCUAUUUGAGCAACUUGUAAAAGCAAGGCUAGACAUCAUUUUAAAACAUUCUUUUAGCAGAUUUAAAAAAAAAACUCCAGCUGGACUCUAUUGUUUGAUGUUAAGCAGCUUCAUGCAGCUGAUUCAGAAGUGACAUUUGUUGGUUAAGUUCUUUUCAACUGCUGACUUGGUUUGAAACGCUGGAACUGUCCCUCCUGCCACCAUCCUCAGUUUCUUCCACCCACCCAGUGCCUAAAUAAGCCCUCUCGGGACAAUUACAGAAGUCAUCAGCAGCUGCUGUGCUCAAUCCUCUGCCUGUUCUCCUCUAUGUGCUUCUGCUCUGGGCCUACUGGCUUUCCACCCACUACCUCUUUAAUUUUCUUGUCUUUUUUUAAAAUAUUACAUUUCUCUGAGGCUUAAAGUCAGAAGUCAAGCACAGCGACAAGCAUUAGUGUAAACACUUGAGUUUGAGAAGUGGAGACGAACCUAAACUGCUCCAGUUCUAGCUGUGUGUACUUGUGUCUAUGCUUUAAUGUGCAUGCACAGCUGUGUAAAGGUUGAACUGGUGCCAGGAAGCAACUUAAGUUUAGAUUUAUUUAUAUUCUUGCACCAAAAACAAUUACAAUAAGCCAUACAAAAAUAUUUAUGAAUUACCAACACAUAUUUUUGUAUCACAUAGCUUAAGAAUAGUUUUGCUUUUAUAAACCUCGACUAAGAAUAUGCAUAUAAAGUGAGUAUUUAAAACGAAUUGUACACAUGCAAGAAGAGCUGUUCAUUGCUAAAUCAGUAAAUAAUCCUCUGUUUUGAGUGAUUGUACUAGUGCUGUGAUACAUUUAGUGACUGGACCUAGUUAAUUCCUCAUGUUUCUGCUGAGUUUCUGCUUUGCAUAGUGUUGGUUUUCUUCUCCAGUCUGCAGUCAUGGCCCCUCGUAGAAAACAACCUACUCGCCAUUUUAACCUGUAGAGCACCCAUAAUAGUAGGUAGACAGUAGAUAUCUACCUAUCUCUGUGUCGUCUUUCCCUCUCUCUCUGUGUCCGAUGCCGGGCUUCAGUGGUGGGGGGGUUGGGGGAGGAGUGGGUGGCCCUGCUUCUGCUCCUCCCCGCCCAUUUCGACCUAGCCGAUAUGUCCCUGUGUCUGCAGCCACCACGUUCCUUGUUGGAUCAACCACCCUUUUUUUCUGCUUCACGUGCCCAUGGUUGUCAGAGUAUUUCUUCUCUGUCAUUCCCAUAUACAUUGCUGUGAUCUUCCUCUUCACCCUUGCCAAUUUCUGCAUGGCCACCUUCAUGGACCCUGGAGUCUUCCCCAGAGCGGAGGAGGAUGAGGAUAAAGAGGAUGAUUUCCGCGCUCCUCUUUAUAAGACGGUGGAGAUCAAAGGCAUCCAGGUGCGCAUGAAGUGGUGCUCGACCUGCCGCUUCUACCGCCCACCGCGCUGCUCACACUGCUCUGUCUGUGACAACUGUGUAGAGGAUUUUGACCAUCACUGUCCAUGGGUGAACAACUGCAUUGGCCGGAGGAAUUAUCGUUAUUUCUUCCUCUUCCUGAUUUCUCUCACCACCCAUAUCAUAAACAUAUUUGGCUUUGGUCUUGUUUAUGUCCUGCACCACCGCCAGCAGUUGGACACACCACAUGCAGCUGUAACUAUGGCUGUUAUGUGUGUGGCUGGUCUGUUUUUUGUCCCAGUCGCUGGCCUGACUGGGUUCCACAUGGUGUUGGUGGCACGCGGUAGGACCACAAAUGAACAGGUGACAGGGAAGUUUCGGGGAGGCGUGAACCCUUUCACCAAUGGCUGCAUGAGAAACAUUUCCCAUGUGCUAUGCAGCUCCCUGGCCCCCAGAUACAUGGGCCGUUUGCAGAGCCCCCAGUCAGUGGAGGUACAGCCCCCAUUUGUUAGACCGCCUCUCACUGAGGCGCAGCUUGAGGCCAAGGUCCUGGACAACGGCAUCCAGAAUGACAGACACAGUACCAGGUCCAAGAUCAGCCUAGAUCAGAUGGAGAGUCAGUCAGCCGAUGCAGAGCCUCCACCUCCUCCAAAGCCGGAGCUACGGUACCCUGGCCUGCCCCGUGCUGACACAGAGGAGAGCAGCUUGCUGACUGAAGCUCCGCUUACGCCGUCAAUGUUCAAAUACCGACCACCUUACAACAGCCCAGGAAGGAACCACUCUGCCAUUACACACCCGAACAAGAUGAUCCGUGGGGAAAGUCUCGACUCUCCAUCACCCUCCAUUCUCCAGUCCAGCCGUCAGCCAAGCUACCGCUCGGAGCCAAGCAGCCUGGAUGGGGCCACAGUAGUGGGGGGAGGUGUAGGGGUCCGCAGAGGGGGAGGGGAGAGAGGUGAGGGCCCCGGGGGCCCUGGCGGAACUGCUGGGGGGAUGUCAGGGGGCAUGUCUGGUCACUCUCUGACUGGACGCUCCUACACCUCCUACCCAUCCUCUUUAGUUCUGUCCGCUGGUGGCUCCCACUCCUCCAGUCUGCGCUCAGCGCACACAGCACAUUACCCUCUGGCCACGCUCCAAUCAGAGGGCACCACAGACACCAGCUAUAAAAGUCUAGCUAAUCAGACGCCUCGGAACGGCAGCUUGUCCUAUGACAGCCUGCUGACACCUUCCGAGAGCCCAGAGUUUGAGUCGGCCGCUCAUGAACUGUCACCACAGAAGCCUCGAGCUCUGUUUUCCUCAAAGACUAUAAUGAGCCAGCCUGAGGUGAUGUCACCCAGUAGCCCGCUGCAGGGCUACACGUCGCCCUUCCUCUCAGCUCAGAUUGCCCAGCAGAGGGAGGGGCAGCUUCUCCAGGGCUCUGCCACUUUCUCCUCCCCUCACAGGGCCUACCUGCGUGCUGUGAGCCCGCCCCCUCCCUCCUCCUCAGGGCCUCCUGAGAGUCAGCACCUGCUCCAUCAUAACCACGACCCUUCUUCCCGAGCCCCUCGAAACCCUUCCUCCUCAUCCUCUUCCCCUGGGGCUCGCUCACUAGAGCCUCCUGUUUCCCCACCACCCCGCGGGCUCUCCCUUGGCAAAUCCUAUUCUUACACUGGUGAGGCGGGGCCUCAGUACAAGCCUCAGCCCACAAGAGGAGGCACUGUGCUGGGCGGGGGAGGAGUCGGGGGAGGGCAACAGGCUCCACAGUGAGUAGUGAACCGCCGGCAGAUCCAUCAGCCUGCAACUCUUCCUCCUCCUUUCCCUCAUAAUCCUCUUCUUCUUCCUUCCUGGUUUGUGUCAGCCCUCCACCCUGAUCUGUAUCCAUCUCUCGCCCAGUCUUGGCCAACCACACCACAGCCAAACCAGGGGGUGGGGUGAAGAAGGUGACCGGUGUCGGAGGGACCACUUACGAGAUAUCAGUUUGAGUGACAGACAUCCUUCAUGGACCAUCACCAGGAGGAGGAGAAAAGGUCUCUGGACUACUUCCACUACCCUGAGCUGGAUAUUAUUCACGACUGCAGGACCCUGAGGAAUUACUCUUUUUCAACAGCAUUGGAUGACAGGAGCAGGCGCGUGUGGUACUCACUGCAUCUCUUUAAGGCCACUGGCCGGUCUUCUCUGUUAGCUUUUCAGAUCUGAACAAAGAGUAAAAGGGGACUUCGUUUUAUUUUUCAAAGGAUACAUUUUUCUCCAUCUAGCCACUUUGUGAGCCAUAGACUGAUGUGACUGUAUCAUUACUGGGUACAGAUAUGUCAAUAGAACAUGCAUAGCUAUCUAAUGAUUUUCUGUUUUACUUUGGUACUUAGCACACAGAGUGCUGACUGCUGUGCUUGACACACUUAAGGAAAAGAUGGCCUUUAUCCAGUGGAUGUAGAGAUUUAGAGGGUGGAUUCAGGACUGUUGACCAAUAGAAACGUCUUCUUCUUCACUGUCUGAACGGACCACAUGACCUGUUAAUCGAUUUGAAUCAUGGAGAGCAGAGUCCGACCUAUAAACACAGUAUCAUUUUAGUUUUAUAAAUCUUUUUUUAAAUAUUGUUUUAUAUAAAUGUAUGAAAUCUUACAGAUUAUUAUCGGGGGGAAAUUGUCAGGUAUUGAAGAUGACUAUUGAUGAGGUUGACAGUUUUACUGUGUGUAAUUAUUCAUGAAAGCGAUUUCAAAUCAGUUGCCUGUUUAUAUUAAAUGGCUGCAUCAGCCACUUGUGAGCUCUUGUUGGAGUUGACAUCGUCCAAAGAGAAAGAUGAUCCUUCAGUGGACAACUUAAGUGGCAAAUAAUUGAGGUUAACUUUUGAAAGCCACAAAGAAAUUUCUGAAUGGAGAUUUCAGCACAAACAUUUUUGUGGAAUGUACACUUGUAAUGUUUAAACUAGAGACAUUAUGCAAAAUCUAUUUGUAGCUUUAAGAUCAUUAUUUGUCUUGUUGGUGUCUUUUAUUUUUUCCUUUUAUUCUGUAAUGUUUGUCAGUCAGUCAGUCAAUCAGUCAGUCAAGAUGCUAGCAGAACCUCCUACAUUCAAACAGAUAGCCAGCCAAAUAGAGGCAGCGAGGGAAGGGCUUAUUUAUUUCACAAAACCAGAAAAACUUUGCAGUUAUCAACACAACAUCAAACCAGUCUACCAGUUUUUUUUUGUUUGUUUUUUUAUGACAAAAUAGGGACAUAUUCAAAAAAAAUUAAAUGCUGUAAAAAUAAAUUGUAAAUGUGAUAAGCCACUAACUAUCUUGUCAAACAGAGACUGGUUUGCAAGGGAUAUUUUUUUGUCUGCCUUGAGCCAUUUUUUUUUUUCAUUUUUUUUUUUUCUGAGGACAAAUUUAUAGGCAGAUAAAGUUGUAUUGAUGAUCAUGCUCAUUUAUAGAUACUCCCGUAGAGGUACAGAAACAGCCACUUUGAGAAAGUAAUAAUUAGAGGAAGGGAGGGGUGUAUGCAAGUUUGUGUCUUUCAGGAUCGGGCAUUACAGUUGAGGUUUAUUUAUUUUAUUAUUAACUAUUAAAGCAGUGUUUGCAGUAGAAUGUUAAAUCUGGCUAAAUGUGGCACAUCUUUGGGUGGAAGAAUACGCUUGAAGCACACAAGUAUCAUUGUUUCAACCCAAAUGACUGUGUUAUGAGUUUUCAACCUUCCCAGGCUUUGUCUUAGGUGUGCAUGCAGUUUUGUCAAAUGUCUACCCAGUUUAUGUGUGGGUGGCUAAAAGAAAAGAAUCAUCAUGAAUGGCACAAGCAGUCGUUGUAAGGAGAUAAAGAGAACCUGUGUUACUUUUUCCUGCUCCGGCCGAUGAUGGUGGCCACUGAACAAUCUGAUCCUUUGAGUAUAGUAGGUAUACUUCUGUGUGAGAUAAAAUAUCGCUAUUGUGGGCUGUGAUGAAUGGAACGAGUUUCACAAAUAUCUGUAAUGAGUACAUGAAAGACAUUUCCAAAAUGGCCUUAUAAAGAAUUUUUAAAAGAUGUCUUCUCAGAAUAAAAAGGUCAAACUGAUUUAAAAAAAAAAAAAAGUACUGUCA